GACGAACGCUGGCGGCGUGCUUAACACAUGCAAGUCGAACGGUGAAGCGCCUUCCUUUUUGGUGGGUGUGGAUGAGUGGCGAACGGGUGAGUAACACGUGAGUAACCUGCCCCCUUCUUCUGGAUAACCGCAUGAAAGUGUGGCUAAUACGGGAUAUUCUGGGUCUGUCGCAUGAUGGGUCUGGGAAAGAUAUUGUUUCGGUGGGGGAUGGGCUCGCGGCCUAUCAGCUUGUUGGUGGGGUGAUGGCCUACCAAGGCGGUGACGGGUAGCCGGCCUGAGAGGGUGGACGGUCACACUGGUACUGCGACACGGCCCAGACUCCUACGGGAGGCAGCAGUGAGUAAUAUUGCACAGUGGGCGCAAGCCUGAUGCAGCGACGCCGCGUGAGGGAUGGAGGCCUUCGGGUUGUGAACCUCUUUCGCCAGUGAAGCAGGCCUGCCUCGUUUGUGGGUGUGUUGACGGUAGCUGGAUAAGAAGCGCCGGCUAACUACGUG
rnacentral:rRNA from 1 species